GGUUGCGAUCAUACCAGCACUAAUGCACCGGAUCCCAUCAGAACUCCGCAGUUAAGCGUGCUUGGGCGAGAGUAGUACUAGGAUGGGUGACCCCCCUCGGAAGUCCUCGUGUUGCAACCC
rnacentral:rRNA from 1 species